UACAGAGGUCUCAAGCGUUGUUCGGAUUCAUUGGGCGUAAAGGGCGCGUAGGCGGCGGGGUAAGUCGGGUGUGAAAUCUCAGAGCUCAACUCUGAAACUGCACUCGAUACUGCUCUGCUUGAGGACUGGAGAGGAGACUGGAAUUCACGGUGUAGCAGUGAAAUGCGUAGAUAUCGUAAGGAAGACCAGUGGCGAAGGCGGGUCUCUGGGCCGAUACUGACGCUGAGGAGCGAAAGCGUGGGGAGCGAACAGG
rnacentral:rRNA from 1 species